rnacentral:rRNA from 1 species
CGUAGUUGAACCUUGGGCCUGGCUGGCCGGUCCGCCUCACCGCGUGUACUGGUCCGGCCGGGCCUUUCCCUCUGUGGAACCCCAUGCCCUUCACUGGGUGUGGCGGGGAAACAGGACUUUUACUGUGAAAAAAUUAGAGUGCUCCAGGCAGGCCUAUGCUCGAAUACAUUAGCAUGGAAUAAUAGAAUAGGACGUGUGGUUCUAUUUUGUUGGUUUCUAGGACCGCCGUAAUGAUUAAUAGGGACAGUCGGGGGCAUCAGUAUUCAAUUGUCAGAGGUGAAAUUCUUGGAUUUAUUGAAGACUAACUACUGCGAAAGCAUUUGCCAAGGAUGUUUUCAUUAAUCAGGAACGAAAGUUAGGGGAUCGAAGACGAUCAGAUACCGUCGUAGUCUUAACCAUAAACUAUGCCGACUAGGGAUCGGACGAUGUUAUAUUUUGACUCGUUCGGCACCUUACGAGAAAUCAAAGUGCUUGGGCUCCAGGGGGAGUAUGGUCGCAAGGCUGAAACUUAAAGAAAUUGACGGAAGGGCACCACCAGGGGUGGAGCCUGCGGCUUAAUUUGACUCAACACGGGGAAACUCACCAGGUCCAGACACAAUAAGGAUU